CGUAAGUAACCUGCCCUGUACUGGGGGAUAACCCGGAGAAAUUCGGACUAAUACUCCAUAAUAAUAUUGAGAGGCAUCUUUUAAUAUUUAAAGUUACGACGGUACAGGAUGGGCAUGCGUAACAUUAGCUGGUUGUUAAGGUGACGGCUUACCAGGGCAUGACGUUAGGUCUUGAAGGGUAUCCGCACACUGUUACUGAGACCCGGACCAGACUCCUACGGAGGCAGCAGUGAGGAAUAUUGUCAAUGGGCGCAAGCCUGAACCAGCCAUCCGGCGUGCAGGAGACGGCCCUAUGGGUUGUAAACUGCUUUUCCAGGGGGAGAACUUACGUACGCGUUACGUAACUGACGGUACCCUGGGAAUAAGCAUCGGCUAACUCCGUGCCAGCAGCCGCGGUAAUACGGAGGAUGCAAGCGUUUCCGGAUUCAUUGGGUUUAAAGGGUGCGUAGGCGGACUAUUAAGUCAGUGGUGAAAUCCUGCAGCUCAACUGUAGAACUGCCGUUGAUACUGAUAGUCUUGAGUUUGGUUAAGGUAGGCGGAAUGUGUAAUGUAGCGGUGAAAUGCUUAGAUAUUACACAGAACACCGAUUGCGUAGGCAGCUUACUGAGCCGACACUGACGCUGAGGCACGAAAGCGUGGGGAUCGAACAGGAUUAGAUACCCUGGUAGUCCACGCCGUAAACGAUGAUUACUCGCUGUUGGCGAUACACUGUCAGCGGCUAAGCAAAAGCAAUAAGUAAUCCACCUGGGGAGUACGGCCGCAAGGCUGAAACUCAAAGGAAUUGACGGGGGCCCGCACAAGCGGAGGAACAUGUGGUUUAAUUCGAUGAUACGCGAGGAACCUUACCUGGGCUUAAAUGUAGAGUGCAUUUUCUAGAGAUAGAAAUUCCCUUCGGGGCUUUCUGCAAGUGCUGCAUGGUUGUCGUCAGCUCGUGCCGUGAGUGUCGGGUUAAGUCCCAUAACGAGCGCAACCCUUAUCGUUAGUUGCCAGCUGGUAAAGCAGGGGACUCUAGCGAAACUGCCACCGUAAGGUGAGAGGACGUGGAUGACGUCAAUCAGCACGCCCUUAUGUCCUGGCUACACACGUGUUACAAUGGCGCACAGAGGCAGCUACUGGUGACUGGAUGCUAGUCUCGAAACCGUCUCAGUCGGUUCGAAGUCGCACUCGACUUCUGAAGCUGAUCGUGAAUCGGCAUCAGCCAUUGCGCGGUGCGUUUGUUUGCGGGCCUUGUACACACCGCCCGUCAAGCCAUGGAAGCUGGGGGUGCCUGAAGUCCGUAACCGUAAGGAGCGGCCUAGGGUAAAACUAGUGACUGGGGCUAAGUCGUAACAAGGUAACC
rnacentral:rRNA from 1 species